rnacentral:rRNA from 1 species
UACGUAGGGUGCGAGCGUUGUCCGGAAUUAUUGGGCGUAAAGCGCUCGCAGGUGGUUCAUUGCGUCGUGCGUGAAAGACCCCGGCUCAACUGGGGAGGGUCGUGCGAAACGGGUGAACUAGAGGCCAGUAGGGGGAGUGUGGAAUUCCGGGUGUAGUGGUGGAAUGCGUAGAGAUCCGGAGGAACACCAGCGGCGAAGGCGGACAUCCUGGACUGGUCCUGACACUCAGGAGCGAAAGCGUGGGGAGCGAGUCCGG